rnacentral:rRNA from 1 species
GGCGGACGGGUGAGUAACGCGUAGGAAUCUACCUUAUAGUGGGGGACAACCCGGGGAAACUCGGGCUAAUACCGCAUAAUGUCUAAGGAUCAAAGCAGGGGACCUUCGGGCCUUGCGCUAUAAGAUGACCCUGCGUCGGAUUAGCUAGUUGGUGGGGUAAAGGCCUACCAAGGCGACGAUCCGUAGCUGGUCUGAGAGGACGACCAGCCACACUGGGACUGAGACACGGCCCAGACUCCUACGGGAGGCAGCAGUGGGGAAUAUUGGACAAUGGGCGAAAGCCUGAUCCAGCAAUGCCGCGUGUGUGAAGAAGGCCUUCGGGUUGUAAAGCACUUUUAGUGGGGAAGAAAUACUCAAGACUAAUAUGCUUGAGUGCUGACGUUACCCACAGAAAAAGCACUGGCUAACUCUGUGCCAGCAGCCGCGGUAAUACAGAGAGUGCGAGCGUUAAUCGGAAUUACUGGGCGUAAAGCGCACGUAGGUGGAUAUUUAAGUCGGAUGUGAAAUCCCUGGGCUUAACUCAGGAAUUGCAUUCGAUACUGAGUUUCUAG